rnacentral:tRNA from 1 species
GUGGUGGCUCAGUGGUAGAGCGAGUACCUAGUAUGUGUGAGGCCCUGGGUUCAAUCUUCAGCACCACA